rnacentral:rRNA from 1 species
CAGCCGCCGCGGGAAUACGUAGGUGGCAAGCGUUGUCCGGAAUUAUUGGGCGUAAAGCGCGCGCAGGCGGAUCAGUCAGUCUGUCUUAAAAGUUCGGGGCUUAACCCCGUGAGGGGAUGGAAACUGCUGAUCUAGAGUAUCGGAGAGGAAAGUGGAAUUCCUAGUGUAGCGGUGAAAUGCGUAGAUAUUAGGAAGAACACCAGUGGCGAAGGCGACUUUCUGGACGAAAACUGACGCUGAGGCGCGAAAGCCAGGGGAGCGAACGGGAUUAGAUACCCCUGUAGUCCCUGUCUCUUAUACC